GACGAACGCUGGCGGCGUGCUUAACACAUGCAAGUCGAACGGAAAGGCCUCUUUCGGGGGGUACUCGAGUGGCGAACGGGUGAGUAACACGUGAGUAACCUGCCCUUGACUUUGGGAUAACUUCAGGAAACUGGGGCUAAUACCGGAUAGGAGCUCCUGCUGCAUGGUGGGGGUUGGAAAGUUUCGGCGGUUGGGGAUGGACUCGCGGCUUAUCAGCUUGUUGGUGGGGUAGUGGCUUACCAAGGCUUUGACGGGUAGCCGGCCUGAGAGGGUGACCGGCCACAUUGGGACUGAGAUACGGCCCAGACUCCUACGGGAGGCAGCGGUGGGGAAUAUUGCACAAUGGGUGGAAGCCUGAUGCAGCAACGCCGUGUGCGGGAUGACGGCCUUGGGGUUGUAAACCGCUUUCGCUCAUGACGAAGCUUUGUGUGACGGUAGUGGGUAAAGAAGCACCGGCUAACUACGUG
rnacentral:rRNA from 1 species